UUUCUCAGGCGGCGAGGAAAACUAAAGUGCAGUUUGGGAGCAACAGAGGGCGGGUGUGUGAAAGGCCGCGGUCCGUGUGGAAAGCUGUAAGUACUCCGGUCACCAGAAGCAGUCACGGGUGGAAAAUGAGGCCCGGGGCGCUGCUGCCCUCCAGCGAUGCGGCGGCAGCGGCGCAACGCGGGGCGGCGGGGAAACUGCGCCGAAGAGAAGGCGCCCGUGGGCGCCCGGCGCCGAGAGGCUGGCCUAAGGGCCUUUCAGCUAAACCUGGAAGCUCAGAAUGAAAACGAGGGCACUUUCUGAGCGCUCCAUGUGUUCCCUUCAUCAUAACCUUACGAAGUUGGUGCUGUUACGAUUGUUCCAAUUCGUCGUAUGAUCCUGAGGAAGAGCGUAAGCGACCGGCCCGAGGCCACUCAGCUGGAGCCGGACGACGACACCUGGUAGCUUUCCAACCUGUGUGUUCUACUGUCACCCACCCUGUCAAUUACUUUAAGGAUGUUUAAAAGGCUCCUCGGCCCCAAGAUGACCCAGUUAUUUCAGUAUGUGUUUUAUAAACGUGUAAUUGGAAUAUACAAUUCACUGUAGAUUUGCUACUAAAUUGCUUUGCAGUGC